CCUGGGAUGAACCUGUUGUUCAGAGCAGAUCAGCUCCCUCUGCUCCUGGAAAGAAGGCAGGAGGUUUCUGGGGGCUGGAGCCAAGCAGAGAGGAGGGAGGGCCCUUGUCUGCCCCACGUCAUCAGUCCAGACUUGAUUCACCGCUCUCUGGGUGGCUCGUACCCUCGGGAAGACCGUCGGAGACCCCUGGACACCCAGCACAUGCAGGCCCCCGUGCGCAGAUGCCCAUUGCAGGCGACAGCAGCAUCUGAUCCAGGAGGGUGCUCCAGACUGGAGCUGGACCCGGCAGCCUUUGCCCAGGGCUCAUGAGGGGAAGCUGGCUGUGGCCUCAGGGACUCUCCUGGUGACCCCAAAACUGCCGAUUCAGAAUUCAUGCACUCUGUUAUCCUGCAGUACUACCCAUUGCAGGAGAAGUUCUGAUUGCUGGCCACUUGGCCAGGCCUGACCUGGACCCCACAAGCUGCAGAGGCAGGAGCUGACGGGGCCAUCCUGGUUGGCCUCCUCUAACCGAAUCCACACCAUGGUCAGACGGGUGGGGAAUGUGGAGACCCCGCUGUUCCAGCACCAGCCUUCCCUGGGAUCCCGCCAGCUGCCCUGUCCUGGUGGGCGACAAAGCCUCUGGCCUCUGUCCGGUGUGCGUAUCCUCGUCAGCAAACCGGCGCCUGGCUGGUUCAGGCCUCUCAGCCUCCCGAACCUGAUUUCACAACAGCUCUCUUGCCACUGGCCAAGUUAAAAAAAAAAAAUUAUAAAUAGCACAACAACGUUGAGUAAGUUCUUGAGAAAGUCAAAGCACUUGUGAGCCCUCUGCCCAACACAAGUGCCUCCCUCUCGGCCUCUUCCCUUCCCUGCGUCUCUGCGACACACAACCUCUCAUGGGCGCUGGUUGCCUCUUUUCAGCCUGCUUUGAUUUGAUCAAGUGGGAUUUUCUCAACUGCGACUGUGGAGUUAGCACCGUCCAGGCUCCCGGACGCAGACUCUCAAGCGCCCGGAUCUUCCCGCCUGGGAUGUCCUCCUGCAUGUGGACAGGCAGGCCGUGUGCAGGUGCUGUUCAGGAAGUCAGCAUGGGGCCUCUCAAGGAGAUGUGUCUUUGCCACCCCCCUCCCAGGGCCCACCAGGAAGACAAAGAAAUGACAAGUAUGAGCACCUGCUGUACACAGGCCAAGUCUCAGCCAGCAGAGUCUUCAGCCCCAAGAGGAUGCGACCGGCCUGGACCAAACGUCAGGUACUUAGCUGGCUUUGACCUGCUGCUGUGGAGUCACCCCUGUACCCUGGGCCGUCCAGAGAGCCAGCGAGAGGUCAGCAGGAGGCCGGUGGGCAGCGUGACGCUGCUCUGGCCCAGGAUGUCGUUGGUGGAUACGUCUUCUGCCUCCAGUAUUUAUCGGGGGCUUGCCUACGCCCUUCUCUCAUCUGGAGAUCAGAGCCAGCAUCUGGGAGACACACGGUGCCCCCAGGGUGGUCUCCCUUGACCUCCACGUUGAAUCUGACAUGGAGCCUGACCAGUUACAUCUUUUAAAUAUUUCUUGGAUCUCUGCUUCUUUUCCGUUCCUAACACCAGGGUCCAAGUUCAGCCACCGAACUUUGUCCCUUUGGUGUUAAUUCAACUCCAAGCCCUGGCUGGCAGACAGUUGAGGGAGAAUCUGAAUCUGGCCUCAUCUGCCCCAGCUCAGAGCCCUUUGGGGAUGCUCCGUUGUCUCCAGGGAAAAGCUGGGUUGCUGGGUGUGGCAUUCAAGGUCCCCCUGCCCGUCUGUCCUAACCCCAUCAACCCUUCCAGCUUUGUCUCCUGUACUCCCUGCCUUUUAUGGGUCCACGGAAGCCAAACUGCCCUGGGGCCCCCGGCUGCCCACCGCAUACUUCCCAUUGUUAACUUUGCCCCAUGCCUCAGAGCCUUGCUUGGCCUGGAAUGUCCUUCCCACCUCUACUAUCUUGUGUACCUGUAAUUUGUCCUUUCAGACAGCUGAGGCAUCAUCGGCUCCUCCAUCUCCUCCGUGUGCAUUUCCAAAUCCUCAGGUUGGGCUUGAUGCCCCCAGGUCGCUCAUGGGCAUCCUGUUGCUUGCCCAUGUGUGUGGAACAACCAGUUAAUAGGCCUACUGAGGGCUGGCAUGGCCAUCUCUGAGCCCUCAGCACCCACAGAGUCUGGCAAACAGGGACUUUUUUGCUCCGGGCAAAAGUCUGCCAGGCAAAUCCCUGAGAGAGAGGGGAGAGCAGCCUGCAGGCCCCUUCCCCUGGCCAUCCCUGCACCUGCACACGCUAUGGCCCUUGGUCCUAGAAUGCCCACUUACACUUCCUCUGUGCACCAGUCAGACCUGGGAUGACGCUGAUGGAGAAAUGCUUGGUGGUCCCAGAGCCAAGUACCCAGGUGCUUUUUCGGACAGUGGUGGAAAGUGGGUUAUAGCUGUAGGUGGUCUGGAAAAUGUCCAGAAGUCAUCAAGAAGUUCCUCGGCCCAGUGGUACCGCCCUUGGUGUGCAUCAACUGGUCAUUUUAACAAGUGGCUCAGAACAGAUGUGCGCAUCAAAAUUUGCAGGGCAGGGGAGAUUUGAACAUCACCAGGGGGGACUGCCGGUAGUUUGGGGGUGGACACUCACUGUCUGCUCCCUGCUGAGGUCAUCCGGUUCCCUUCCAAAUGGGGACUCAGGGGAACCUGGCUACCUCUGCCUGUCUAUCCCCCAGGUCAUCACUGAGUUUUUUUUUUUUUUUUUUAUGAUAGUCACAGAGAGAGAGAGAGAGAGAGAGGCAGAGACACAGGCAGAGGGAGAAGCAGGCUCCAUGCAGGGAGCCUGAUGUGGGACUCGAUCCCGGGACUCCAGGAUCACGCCCUGGGCCAAGGGCAGGCACCAAACCGCUGCACCACCCAGGGAUCCCAAUCACUGAGUAUUCUUAAAGGAAAGUGUGUCUCUACUCAUCAGGCUUGGAAAACACAGAUAAUCCCCCAAAGGUGGGUGGUUUGCAUGGAUGUUUGUGAGGGCACCGUGCUCACCCACCAUGAGGUCAGGAGCAUCAGGUCCCUGCGCGGGGGCCCGACCUUCUCUCCUGUUGCCCAACUAUCUCCCCCACACCCAGGCCAGGUCUCUGCCAGGAGCGUGCAUCCGGCCUAUUGCUGCACAUGCACGCCUAACGGAAGUAUAGUGCGAGCCACAUCUGGAAUUGCACAUUUUCUAGUAGCCGUGUUCAACAAGUAAAAAGAGAGAGACAAAAUUAAAUUCAAUAAAACAUUUUAUUUAACCCCA
rnacentral:lncRNA from 12 species